ensembl:rRNA 5S_rRNA 5S ribosomal RNA
GUCUACGGCCAUACCACCCUGAACACGCCCGAUCUCGUCAGAUCUCGGAAGCUAAGCAGGGUCGGGCCUGGUUAGUACUUGGAUGGGAGAAAUGAUAGUAACAACAAAUGCUGGAGAGG